rnacentral:lncRNA from 1 species
AAUAAAAGAUUAUUACUUUCAUAUUUAAAAUGACUUUUCUGAUCACUUAUUGGAUGACAAAUAUUCUCUGUGUCAUCAUUAGUGAUGGAUCCGAUAACACAGCCACUGCACAGAAAUCAGUUAAUAAAUCAACGAGACAGAAAUCUGUAGGAAACCCUGAACCAUCCUCUUUCAUGAGCAGACUUCAAGCAAAUGCUGUGGGCAUGAAUGCAAAGCAGUCGGAAAUACCUCACCCUGCCAUGGCACUGUCAACUAGGCCCAUUCUACUGACAGCAAGAAAUAAGUUUUUACAGGGAGUAUAAGAAGCACCCAAAAUACAUGGAAAGGGGACUUGUGAUUGUUCAUCCAAAGUUUCCUUCCAGAGGUAAUGUCAAUAGUUCAAACUAUGCAUGUAUGUGAAUGUACAAUUAUUUGAUUUAAUAAAACAAAUUUUCUGAAAAAAAGUUCUGUUGAUGUAGGUCAGAAAUUCAGGAGUAUACAACCCC